AAAGUCGUAACAAGGUUUCCGUAGGUGAACCUGCGGAAGGAUCAUUAUCGAAUAAAUCUGGCGUUGGGUUGUAGCUGGCUCUCUGGAGCAUGUGCACGCCUCGUCACCUUUAUCUUUCCACCUGUGCACACACUGUAGUCCUGGAUACCUCUCGCUGAAAGGCGGAUGUGGGGGUUGCUGCUGCCUUUGAAAGGCUCGGCUUCCUCUGAAUUUCCAGGUCUAUGCUUUUUUACACACCCCAAACGAAUGUUAUAGAAUGUAAUCAUCAAGGCCUCUGUGCCUAUAAACCUAAUACAACUUUCAACAACGGAUCUCUUGGCUCUC
rnacentral:misc_RNA from 1 species